GCCAGCGUGACUCAGUGGUUGAGCAUCGAGCUAUGAACCAGGAGGUCAUGGUUUGAUUCCAGGUUAGGGCA